rnacentral:rRNA from 1 species
GACAGAGGAUGCAAGCGUUAUCCGGAAUGAUUGGGCGUAAAGCGUCUGUAGGUGGCUUUUUAAGUCCGCCGUCAAAUCCCAGGGCUCAACCCUGGACAGGCGGUGGAAACUACCAAGCUGGAGUACGGUAGGGGAGACUGGAAUUCCUGGUGUAGCGGUGAAAUGCGCAGAUAUCAGGAAGAACACCCGUGGCUAAGGCGGCUCUCUAGUACGGUACUGACGCUGAGACGCGAAAGCGUGGGGAGCGAACAGG